GACGAAGGGGGGCUAGCGUUGUUCGGAAUUACUGGGCGUAAAGCGAGUGUAGGUGGUUGUCCAAGUUGGAUGUGAAAGCCUUGAGCUCAACUCAAGAAAUGCAUUCAGGACUGGGCGGCUAGAGGACCGGAGAGGAUAGUGGAAUUCCCAGUGUAGUGGUGAAAUACGUAGAGAUUGGGAAGAACACCAGUGGCGAAGGCGGCUAUCUGGACGGUUUCUGACACUAAGACUCGAAAGCGUGGGGAGCAACAGG
rnacentral:rRNA from 1 species